AUAUUCAGUCGUUUCGAAGUUGGAGAAAGUAACCAAUAAGGAAAUGUGUAAAAGGCUAGCUAUUCAGCCAUUUACAGUUGUGAUCUGGAACUGUGAUCACAGAUUGGACAAGUAUAGAGGGGGAACGUUCAAAGCGACGUACGACGCAUCCUAUAAGAAUCAUACCUUUAACCACGCUGGUUUGCUUGUGGGACGGGGAAUAGACUCAGAAGGAAUACGCUAUUGGAAGAUAAGGUGCGCGAAUGGUGAACAUUGGGGCGAAGAUGGACAUUUUCACCUCGCGCAUUCGUCAUGGGAAUCAUGCAAAGGAGCCUAUCAGAUUAUGCAAGCGGCAUUUCCUAUAUUAUAAGUUGUUUUAUUUUUGCUAAGUUGAAUCAUUUUUUGUCUAAUUUUGUUAAAAAGUUGGGGUGUAGAAAGAUAUAUUUACUACAGAACCCAUAUUUGAAUUAGAUCGUGUUCUGGAGAAGUUUUUGAGGAAUGUAACAAAUAUGAUUAUAUUUUGUGGAAAUGUUGAAAAGAU